CAGCAGCCGCGGUAAUACCGGCGGCCCGAGUGGCGGUCACUAUUAUUGGGCUUAAAGCGUCCGUAGCCGGGUUGGGAAGUCCUCCGGGAAAUCUGGCCGCUUAACGGUCAGAAUGCCGGAGGAUACUCCCAGCCUAGGGAGCGGGAGAGGCCGAGGGGAUUCCCGGAGUAGGGGGGAAAUCCUAUAAUCCCGGGAGGACCACCUGGGGCGAAGGCGCUCGGCGGGAACGCGUCCGACGGUGAGGGACGAAGGCCAGGGGAGCAAACCGGAUUAGAUACCCGGGUAGUCCUGGCUGUAAACGAUGCGGACUUUGUGUCGGACAAGCUAUGAGCUUGUCCGGUGCCGGAGGGAAACCGUUAAGUCCGCCGCCUGGGGAGUACGGCCGCAAGGCUGAAACUUAAAGGAAUUGGCGGG
rnacentral:rRNA from 1 species